GAGCAGGUGUGUGUCUGUGUUUCAGAGUGAAAGGGGCGAGGAGUGGAGUGUGUGUUUGCACACAGGGCAGAGCUGCUGCUACUUGGUUUGGUGGAGAAGACGGAGGCCAGAGAGACACAGAGAGCGAGGGGGGAGUUACAGACUAAAGUUGCCUGGUAGGCACUCCAGAGGGCUGAGCGUUUUUCAUUUUGGUCUCAGCUGAGAGAGCUGAAAGGACAACAACAAUGUUUUUUCGCAUCCCACGGCUGACCCCUGGAUAUAUCAGAUACCUGCAGACCCAGGCGGCCCAGACCGUCCUGCAGAGUCGGGAAGCCCCCGUGAUGCCUCGCAUGGCCAUGCUGAUGGGGGUCAUGGGGAUCGGCGUGUCAGGAUACAGCUCGCGCCAACUCACGCUGCACUACAAGCCCGCGAGCCACCUCCUCCGAUGAAAGGACAAGAGGAUAUGCAAACAUACACCCAUGGACACACAGUCACAGCAUCUUUUACUUUAAGUUGAAGUUUUAACGUUUGGAAAAUGUGUUCAACUUUAUCGGUAAUUCACUCGUAGUGGCUAUCUGGUUUGGAAGUCGGUCUUUGUAGGAAACGAGCCUCAAAACUGCUUAAAAAUGUCAACUUUACUAACUUUCAUAAAGAAAAAGAAGAAAGAUGUGUUCAUCAUCAAGCUUUAGAGUUGCAGGGAGGGGUUUUUUGUCCAUGUGACAAAGCUAGACUUGCAUGUUGAGAUAUAAGCUAGGCUGCUAGGGUGCUUGGUUAAUGGGGAGGGUGGUAGUUUAGUGAUACUAUCAUGGGUUUGGUAAAAACAUUUUUUAAUUUAAUCCCCUGAAUUUCUUGACAAAAAGUUUGUCUGUUUUGUCAAAAAAAUAUCUAAAAUGAAAGAAGUGAAUCUCCCAAGGUUCUUUGUUUCUGAUUUUGUUUUUCUCUGUGCAUCCCUGUUUAUACUCCCCUCUCUCUGUGGUUUAAGUUCAGUGUUGUCCUUGAUUUUGUGGUGAUUUGAGUUUGAGGAAAAAAAAUACAUUCACAUUGUACAAAACUA